rnacentral:rRNA from 1 species
CCUACGGGCGGCAGCAGUAGGGAAUAUUGCUCAAUGGGGGAAACCCUGAAGCAGCAACGCCGCGUGGAGGAUGAAGGUUUUAGGAUUGUAAACUCCUUUUGUUAGAGAAGAUUAUGACGGUAUCUAACGAAUAAGCACCGGCUAACUCCGUGCCAGCAGCCGCGGUAAUACGGAGGGUGCAAGCGUUACUCGGAAUCACUGGGCGUAAAGAGUGCGUAGGCGGGGUAAUAAGUCAGAUGUGAAAUCCUGUGGCUUAACUAAAGAACUGCAUUUGAAACUGUUACUCUGGAGUGUGGGAGAGGUAGGUGGAAUUCUUGGUGUAGGGGUAAAAUCCGUAGAGAUAAAGAGGAAUACUCGUUGCGAAGGCGACCUGCUGGAACGUUACUGACGCUGAUGCACGAAAGCGUGGGGAGCAAACAGGAUUAGAUACCCGGGUAGUC